AAACCAUGAUGAGGGCACUCUAAGAGGAGGUCUUUAAAACGUUCCAUACAUUGAGAGAAUGAUUCAUUGGGUUUUUGGCAAAACAGGAGAAUGUCGUUCCUAAGUUU
rnacentral:snoRNA from 1 species